rnacentral:rRNA from 1 species
GAUGAACGCUAGCGAUAGGCUUAACACAUGCGAGUCGAGGGGCAGCAUGGUCUUAGCUUGCUAAGACUGAUGGCGACCGGCGCACGGGUGCGUAACGCGUAUGCAACUUGCCUCACAGAGGGGGAUAACCCGUCGAAAGACGGACUAAUACCGCGUACACUCUAUUUUGGGCAUCCAAGGUAGAGGAAAUGAAAUUCGCUGUGAGAUAGGCAUGCGUCCCAUUAGCUAGUUGGUGAGGUAACGGCUCACCAAGGCGACGAUGGGUAGGGGAACUGAGAGGUUGAACCCCCACACUGGUACUGAGACACGGACCAGACUCCUACGGGAGGCAGCAGUGAGGAAUAUUGGUCAAUGGGCGAGGGCCUGAACCAGCCAAGUCGCGUGAAGGAUGACUGUCUUAUGGAUUGUAAACUUCUUUUGUAGGGGAAUAAAGAGGGGCACGUGUGCCCCAGUGAAUGUACCCUACGAAUAAGCAUCGGCUAACUCCGUG